rnacentral:lncRNA from 1 species
GUUGACCCCUGAAGGAGUUAUUGCCCUUUAUAGUCAAUUUUUAACCAUUUUUUUCGUAAAUCUUAGUAAUCUUUUACAAAAGUCUUCUUCUCUGAAACUACUGGGCCAAAUUAAAGUAAACUAAACUUGGCCACAAUUAUCAUUGGGGUAACUUGUUUAAAAAAUGUGUGGCGUGACCUGGCCAAUCAACCAAAAUGGCUGCCACGGCUAAUAAUAGAACAUAGGGGUAAAAUGCAGUUUUUGGCUUAUAACUCAAAAACCGAAGCAUUAAGAGAAAAUCUGACAGGGUUUAAUUGUUUAUUAGGUCAAGAUCUAUCUGCCCUGAUGUUUUCACGUGGAUCGGACAACCCGUUGUUAGGUUACUGUCCUGAAUUGGUAAUUUUAAGGAAAUUUUGCCGUUUUUUGUUAUUAUCUUGAAUAUUAUUAUAGAUAGAGAUAAACUGUAUACAGCAAUAACGUUCAGCAAAUAAGAUCUACAAAUAAGUUUACAUGACCAAUAUAGUCAAUUGACCCCUUAAGGAGUUAUUGCCCUUUACAGUUAAUUUUUAACAUUUUUCAUAAAUUUUUGUAAAUUUUUUGAAAAUAUUUUCCACUGUAAUUACUGGGCCAAGUUCAUUAUAGAUAGAGAUAAUUGUAGCAACAAGAAUGUUCAGUAAAGUAAGAUCUACAAACACAUCACUAUCACCAAAACACAAUUAUGUCAUGAAUUUAUCCGUGUCCAUUGUUUAAUAUGCACAAGACCAAGGUGAGCGACACAGGCUCUUUAGAGCCUCUAGUUAUAC